rnacentral:lncRNA from 1 species
CCACGACCUCGACCUCUAUAUGAUCUUCUACCUCUUCCACCAUAAUUUUCUGAUUCAUUGUUAGAUCUACCUUUGCCUCCAUAAUUUCCUCUACCACCACCAUGACCUCGUCGUUCUCCUCUGCCAUGAGAUCUAUUUUCAGAAGACUGUUGUCUGCCAUCUUCUUUCUGUUCAUCUUUGAUUGAAACUUGAGAUUGGAAGACUUUAUUUAACGGCUUUUCUUUUAACUUCUCAUUAAG